rnacentral:tRNA from 1 species
GCUCCUGUAGCCCAAUUGGAAGAGGCGGCUGACUCAAAAUCAGCAGGUUGUGAGUUCGAGUCUCACCAGGAGUA